GGUCAAGCGAACAAGUGCAUGUGGUGGAUGCCUUGGCGAUCACAGGCGAUGAAGGACGCGGUAGCCUGCGAAAAGCCCCGGGGAGCUGGCAAACAAGCUUUGAUCCGGGGAUGUCCGAAUGGGGAAACCCACUCCUUUUGGAGUAUCCAUAGCUGAAUACAUAGGCUAUGUGAAGCGAACGCGGUGAACUGAAACAUCUAAGUAACCGCAGGAAAAGAAAUCAACCGAGAUUCCCAAAGUAGUGGCGAGCGAAAUGGGAUGAGCCUUGUACUCUUUAUUUGUAUUGUUAGCCGAACGCUCUGGAAAGUGCGGCCAUAGCAGGUGAUAGCCCUGUAGGCGAAAACAGUAUGAAAGAACUAGGUGUACGACAAGUAGGGCGGGACACGUGAAAUCCUGUCUGAAGAUGGGGGGACCAUCCUCCAAGGCUAAAUACUCGUGAUCGACCGAUAGUGAACCAGUACCGUGAGGGAAAGGCGAAAAGAACCCCGGGAGGGGAGUGAAAUAGAUCCUGAAACCGCAUGCAUACAAACAGUCGGAGCCUCGUAAGGGGUGACGGCGUACCUUUUGUAUAAUGGGUCAGCGACUUACGUUCAGUAGCAAGCUUAACCGUAUAGGGCAGGCGUAGCGAAAGCGAGUCCGAAUAGGGCGUUCAGUUGCUGGGCGUAGACCCGAAACCAGGUGAUCUAUCCAUGGCCAGGAUGAAGGUGCGGUAACACGUACUGGAGGUCCGAACCCACUAACGUUGAAAAGUUAGGGGAUGAGCUGUGGAUAGGGGUGAAAGGCUAAACAAACCUGGAAAUAGCUGGUUCUCUCCGAAAACUAUUUAGGUAGUGCCUCGUGUCUCACCUUCGGGGGUAGAGCACUGUCAUGGUUGGGGGGUCUAUUGCAGAUUACCCCGCCAUAGCAAACUCCGAAUACCGAAGAGUGCAAUCACGGGAGACAGACAUCGGGUGCUAACGUCCGGUGUCAAGAGGGAAACAACCCAGACCGCCAGCUAAGGUCCCCAAAUAUGGCUAAGUGGGAAACGAAGUGGGAAGGCUAAAACAGUCAGGAGGUUGGCUUAGAAGCAGCCACCCUUUAAAGAAAGCGUAAUAGCUCACUGAUCGAGUCGUCCUGCGCGGAAGAUGUAACGGGGCUAAGCCAUAUACCGAAGCUGCGGAUGCGUGCUUGCACGCAUGGUAGGAGAGCGUUCCGUAAGCCUGCGAAGGUGCCUUGUAAAGGGUGCUGGAGGUAUCGGAAGUGCGAAUGCUGACAUGAGUAGCGAUAAAGGGGGUGAAAGGCCCCCUCGCCGUAAGCCCAAGGUUUCCUACGCAACGUUCAUCGGCGUAGGGUGAGUCGGCCCCUAAGGCGAGGCAGAAAUGCGUAGCUGAUGGGAAGCAGGUCAAUAUUCCUGCACCGUCGUUAGAUGCGAUGGGGGGACGGAUCGCGGAAGGUUGUCCGGGUGUUGGACGUCCCGGUCGCUGCAUUGGAGAAGGCGCUUAGGCAAAUCCGGGCGCAGGAUUCAAGGGUGUGGCGCGAGCGACUUCGGUCGCGAAGCAAUUGGAAGUGGUUCCAAGAAAAGCCUCUAAGCUUCAGUCUAACGAUGACCGUACCGCAAACCGACACAGGUGGGCGAGAUGAGUAUUCUAAGGCGCUUGAGAGAACUCGGGAGAAGGAACUCGGCAAAUUGGUACCGUAACUUCGGGAUAAGGUACGCCCUUGUAGCUUGACCAGCCUGCGCUGGAAGGGUGAAGGGGUUGCAAUAAACUGGUGGCUGCGACUGUUUAAUAAAAACACAGCACUCUGCAAACACGAAAGUGGACGUAUAGGGUGUGACGCCUGCCCGGUGCCGGAAGAUUAAAUGAUGGGGUGCAAGCUCUUGAUUGAAGUCCCGGUAAACGGCGGCCGUAACUAUAACGGUCCUAAGGUAGCGAAAUUCCUUGUCGGGUAAGUUCCGACCUGCACGAAUGGCGUAACGAUGGCCACACUGUCUCCUCCCGAGACUCAGCGAAGUUGAAGUGUUUGUGAUGAUGCAAUCUACCCGCGGCUAGACGGAAAGACCCCAUGAACCUUUACUGUAGCUUUGCAUUGGACUUUGAACCGAUCUGUGUAGGAUAGGUGGGAGGCUAUGAAACCGGAACGCUAGUUUCGGUGGAGCCGUCCUUGAAAUACCACCCUGGUUUGUUUGAGGUUCUAACCUUGGUCCGUGAUCCGGAUCGGGGACAGUGCAUGGUAGGCAGUUUGACUGGGGCGGUCUCCUCCCAAAGGGUAACGGAGGAGUACGAAGGUACGCUAGGUACGGUCGGAAAUCGUGCUGAUAGUGCAAUGGCAUAAGCGUGCUUAACUGCGAGACCGACAAGUCGAGCAGGUGCGAAAGCAGGUCAUAGUGAUCCGGUGGUUCUGUAUGGAAGGGCCAUCGCUCAACGGAUAAAAGGUACUCUGGGGAUAACAGGCUGAUACCGCCCAAGAGUUCAUAUCGACGGCGGUGUUUGGCACCUCGAUGUCGGCUCAUCUCAUCCUGGGGCUGUAGCCGGUCCCAAGGGUAUGGCUGUUCGCCAUUUAAAGAGGUACGUGAGCUGGGUUUAAAACGUCGUGAGACAGUUUGGUCCCUAUCUGCCGUGGGCGUUGGAUAUUUGAAGGGGGCUGCUCCUAGUACGAGAGGACCGGAGUGGACGAACCUCUGGUGUACCGGUUGUGACGCCAGUCGCAUCGCCGGGUAGCUAUGUUCGGAAGAGAUAACCGCUGAAAGCAUCUAAGCGGGAAACUCGCCUUAAGAUGAGAUAUCCCUGGAGGCUUGACCUCCUUGAAGGGUCGUUCGAGACCAGGACGUUGAUAGGUCGGGUGUGUAAGCGCAGUAAUGCGUUCAGCUAACCGAUACUAAUUGCCCGUAAGGCUUGAUCCU
rnacentral:rRNA from 1 species